rnacentral:rRNA from 1 species
AAACUUUACAAUGCGGGAAACCGCGAUAAGGGGACACUGAGUGCCAGCACCAUGUGUUGGCUGUCCGCAUGUAUAAAUCACAUGUGAGCAAGGGCCGGGCAAGACCGGUGCCAGCCGCCGCGGUAACACCGGCGGCCCGAGUGGUGGCCAUUAUUAUUGGGUCUAAAGGGUCCGUAGCCGGUUUGAUCAGUCUUCCGGGAAAUCUGACAGCUCAACUGUUAGGCUUCUGGGGGA